rnacentral:rRNA from 1 species
CCAUCUGAUGAAGGUGGCUUUUCCUAGGUCUAAAAAGCCUUGGGAAUAAGAGGGGGGCAAGACUGGUGUCAGCCGCCGCGGUAACACCAGCCCCUCGAGUGGUGGGGAUGAUUAUUGGGCCUAAAGCGUCCGUAGCCUGCCGUAUAAGUUUCCCGUUAAAUCCAGCGUCUCAAGCGUUGGACCGCGGGAAAUACUGUACGGCUAGAGAGUGGGAGAGGUCAGCGGUAUUCUGGGGGUAGGGGCGAAAUCCUGUGAUCCCUGUGAGACCACCAGUGGCGAAGGCGUCUAGCUAGAACGGGUCUGACGGUGAUGAACGAAAGCUAGGGGCACGAACCGGAUUAGAUACCCGGGUAGUCCUAGCCGUAAACGAUGCGAGCUAGGUGUCACGGUAGCUGCGAGCUACUGUGGUGCCGUAGGGUAGCCAUGAAGCUCGCCACCUGGAAGUACGCCGCAAGGC